GACGAACGCUGGCGGCGUGCUUAACACAUGCAAGUCGAGCGAGAAAGCUCCUUCGGGAGCGAGUACAGCGGCGAACGGGUGAGUAACACGUGGGCAACCUGCCCAAGGGAGCGGGACAACCCGGGGAAACUCGGGCUAAUACCGCAUGAUGCGUCAUGUCUCAAGGCGUGACGCCAAAAGGUAGCUUCGGCCUCCGCCCUUGGAUGGGCCCGCGGCGCAUUAGCUUGUUGGUGGGGAACGGCUCACCAAGGCGACGAUGCGUAGCUGGUCUGAGAGGACGAUCAGCCACACUGGGACUGAGACACGGCCCAGACUCCUACGGAGGCAGCAGUGGGGGAAUCUUGCGCAAUGGGCGAAAGCCUGACGCAGCGACGCCGCGUGAGGGAUGACGGCCU
rnacentral:rRNA from 1 species